AAUGAACGCUGGCGGCGUGCUUAACACAUGCAAGUCGAACGUGAAAGUCCUUCGGGAUGAGUAAAGUGGCGAACGGGUGCAUAACGCGUGAGAAUCUGCCCUCGAGUGAAGGAUACCCUGGAGAAAUCCAGGCUAAUACUGCAUAAUCCGGUUCGCCGGCAAAGGUGGCCUCUUGCUACCGCUCAAGGAUGAGCUCGCGUACUAUUAGCUAGUUGGUGAGGUAAAGGCUCACCAAGGCUCAGAUGGUUAGCUGGCCUGCGAGGGUGACCAGCCACACUGGGACUGAGAUACGGCCCAUGCUCCUACGGGAGGCAGCAGUGGGGAAUAUUGCACAAUGGGCGAAAGCCUGAUGCAGCGACGCGGCGUGGAGGAUGAAGGUUUACGGAUUGUAAACUCCUGUUAAGUGGGAAGAAAGAACGUGUGCUAAUACCACACGGUGAUGACGGUACCACUAGAGAAAGCACCGGCUAACUUCGUGCCAGCAGCCGCCGUAACAC
rnacentral:rRNA from 1 species